GAUGAACGCUGGCGGCGUGCCUAAUACAUGCAAGUCGAGCGAACGGACGAGAAGCUUGCUUCUCUGAUGUUAGCGGCGGACGGGUGAGUAACACGUGGAUAACCUACCUAUAAGACUGGGAUAACUUCGGGAAACCGUAGCUAAUACAGGAUAAUAUUUUGAACCGCAUGGUUCAAAAGUGAAAGACGGUCUUGCUGUCACUUAUAGAUGGAUCCGCGCUGCAUUAGCUAGUUGGUAAGGUAACGGCUUACCAAGGCAACGAUGCAUAGCCGACCUGAGAGGGUGAUCGGCCACACUGGAACUGAGACACGGUCCAGACUCCUACGGGAGGCAGCAGUAGGGAAUCUUCCGCAAUGGGCGAAAGCCUGACGUAGCAACGCCGCGUGAGUGAUGAAGGUCUUCGGAUCGUAAAACUCUGUUAUUAGUGAAGAACAUAUGUGUAAGUAACUGUGCACAUCUUGACGGUACCUAAUCAGAAAGCCACGGCUAACUACGUG
rnacentral:rRNA from 1 species